GCACUCGUAUACACACGUGCGCGCCCCGCCCGGCCUCCGGCGGCGCCCAGUGCCGCGCCGCGCCCGGACCUCUUCUGACUCUCGGAGGGUCGCGCUGCCGCCUUGCGCCUCCCCUCAGAGCGAGCUUGGCCGCCGCCAGCUUCCUGGUCUGGGGAUCCCCCUAUCCCCGGCGCGGGCUGGGACACCGCCCCCCCCCCACCCCCGCAGCCCUCCGGCGCUCGGGGCCCGAACUGGGAGAGCGGGCGCGGCCCAGCGAGGCGGAGCGGUUUGCAGCUAUCCCGCCCCCGUCCCCGGGCCGGCCGGCGGUGGGGAGGUGACCAGUGGCGCGGACGGGUACGUCCGGUCCGGCGACUUUCCCCAGGCCGCUGAACCUCUGAGCCCCGGGGGCGGGCGGGGCGCGGCUGGAACCGAAUCCAGAGCAGCCGCGGAGGCGAGGGUGGAAAGACGCAGUGGCGUGUGAGGGCGGAAAACUCGAGUGCCGAGCGGUGUUCUCGGGUGGAAGAGGACCCUUGUGGUUCCAUUGGGCCCACGGGAUAACCCACGACCAUGUCCCUAUUCAGAGUCUGCUUGUUAGCAUCCUUAAUUCCAUCUGCGACCUUAAUUCCCCCUUGCCAAGUGAUGACACACUCACAGGCUCCAGCGAUUAAGACGUGGACAUCUUCGGGGUCCAUAAUUCUGACUCCUUCACCCUUCCUGGAAAGGUGUGGGGAGGAUGAUACGGGGAGAGGCUGGGACCCCUGUCACAGAAAGUCCCGGUGCCCAAUUAGGAGGUGGCCUUUUGCACAGAGCCUGGGAUCCGUUCCUCCGGAGCCAGGCCGUUGAAGCCCCCUGGGCAUCUGCACCGCCCUGCGGUUUCUUCUUGGUGGGAUUCGGCUCUGUUCUCACGUGGCAGCCAGGAGAGAGAAGGACCCAACUAACAGCCGGCCACCGUCCCGUCUAAGAGAGGCCUGGGCGGAUGCGGGCAGGAAGCAUCAUUCUGACUGGGCAAGGCAGGACUCUUCACAGGGUUCCAGCUGGACCUUUUGGAAAAGGGAGGGGAUGAGGUGUGAGGAUGGCUUCAACCCCCCCCACCUUUCUCCAGCCCCCCCAAGCCAAGCCUGUUUUUUCCUAAUCAGCUAAGCAACUCUUAUACACGAAUAGAUGCAACUUAUAAAUAUGAUAAAUCAGUUCUGUUAAAAAUUCAAACGCUGUUUAUGAACUUAGAUCCUUUUAUGCUGUCUCAGUUGUCUAUUGCCUGGUAAUAAAUCACUGGAAAUUUACUGGCUUAAAAUAACAACCAGGACUCUGAGUCAGCGGCCUGGGCCAGGAUAAGCUGGAAGGUUCAUCUACUGGUCUGGCCGGGGUCACCGCUGUGGCUGCGCUCAUCUCACAACCCAGCUGGGGCUGGGGGCCCAGGG